GAUGAAGAACGUAGCGAAAUGCGAUACGUAAUGUGAAUUGCAGAAUUCAGUGAAUCAUCGAGUCUUUGAACGCACAUUGCGCCCUCUGGUAUUCCGGAGGGCAUGCCUGUCCGAGCGUCAUUGCUGCCCUCCAGCCCGGCUGGUGUGUUGGGCCCCGUCCCCCUUCCCGGGGGGACGGGCCCGAAAGGCAGCGGCGGCACCGCGUCCGGUCCUCGAGCGUAUGGGGCUUUGUCACCCGCUCUUGUAGGCCCGGCCGGCGCCAGCCGACCCCCUCAAUCUAUUUUUCAGGUUGACCUCGGAUCAGGUAGGGAUACCCGCUGAACUUAAGCAUAUCAAUAAGCGGAGGA
rnacentral:misc_RNA from 1 species